rnacentral:rRNA from 1 species
GACGAACGCUGGCGGCGUGCUUAACACAUGCAAGUCGAACGGAAAGGCCCUGCUUUUGUGGGGUGCUCGAGUGGCGAACGGGUGAGUAACACGUGAGUAACCUGCCCUUGACUUUGGGAUAACUUCAGGAAACUGGGGCUAAUACCGGAUAGGAGCUCCUGCUGCAUGGUGGGGGUUGGAAAGUUUCGGCGGUUGGGGAUGGACUCGCGGCUUAUCAGCUUGUUGGUGGGGUAGUGGCUUACCAAGGCUUUGACGGGUAGCCGGCCUGAGAGGGUGACCGGCAACAGUGGGAACGAGGUGCCGCCGGGAGUCAUCAGGUAGGGAGCAGUGGGCGAGGGUGCAGACGGGGAGCAGGCCUGAAGCAGCGACGCCGGGUGGGGGAGGGCGGGCGGCGGGUGGGAAACGCGGGUCGCGGGGGAAGAAGCUGGUGGCGGCGGUAGCGAUAUAAGAAGCAGCGGCGAACUAAGU